UUCCUCCCUCCAUCUUGAAUUUCCUGAGAGCGUCUCAGAUCUGAAACUCCUUCUUCUACUUUUCAUCUUUGAAAGAGUCCAAAUCAAGAAGAAGGAGGCACCUGAUCAACCAUCAAAGAAGGAUCAGCGCAGUACUAGCAUACUGUGCUGAUUUCUUGAAGCAGGACUUUUGAUCGAGAUUCGUGGGCUCGUGUGGAUG
rnacentral:lncRNA from 1 species